GAUGAACGCUGGCGGCGUGCCUAAUACAUGCAAGUCGAGCGAACAGACGAGGAGCUUGCUCCUCUGACGUUAGCGGCGGACGGGUGAGUAACACGUGGAUAACCUACCUAUAAGACUGGGAUAACUUCGGGAAACCGGAGCUAAUACCGGAUAAUAUAUUGAACCGCAUGGUUCAAUAGUGAAAGACGGUUUUGCUGUCACUUAUAGAUGGAUCCGCGCCGCAUUAGCUAGUUGGUAAGGUAACGGCUUACCAAGGCGACGAUGCGUAGCCGACCUGAGAGGGUGAUCGGCCACACUGGAACUGAGACACGGUCCAGACUCCUACGGGAGGCAGCAGUAGGGAAUCUUCCACAAUGGGCGAAAGCUUGACGGAGCAACGCCGCGUGAGUGAUGAAGGUCUUCGGAUCGUAAAACUCUGUUAUUAGGGAAGAACAAAUGUGUAAGUAACUAUGCACGUCUUGACGGUACCUAAUCAGAAAGCCACGGCUAACUACGUG
rnacentral:rRNA from 1 species